rnacentral:lncRNA from 1 species
AUGAUUGAAGAAAUGAAGGCCUUGUCAAAGAAUGAGACUUGGGAUCUUGUCACUUCACCACUAAGUAAGAAAUUGGUUGGCUGCAAAUGGGUCUUUACUGUGAAGCACAAAGCUGAUGGCUCGAUUGAAAGGUUCAAAGCAAGACUGGUGGCUAAGGGGUUCACUCAAACUUAUGGAGUUGAUUAUCAGGAGACAUUUUCCCCUGUUGCAAAAAUGAACACUGUUAGAAUACUUUUGUCUUGUGCAGUUAAUCUUGAUUGGGACUUACAAUAGUUUGAUGUGAAGAACGCAUUUCUUCAUAGCGACUUAGAAGAAAAGGUGUAUAUGGAGAUUCCUCCUGGAUUUGAUACUGAACAAAGUCAAGGCCCCCUGUUGCAAAAAUGAACACUAUUAGAAUACUUUUGUCUUGCGCAGUUAAUCUUGAUUGGGACUUACAACAGUUUGAUGUGAAGAACGCAUUUCUUCAUGGCGACUUAGAAGAAGAGGUGUAUAUGGAGAUUCCUCCUGGAUUUGAUACUGAACAAAGUCAAGGAAAAGUGUGCAGGUUGAAGAAAGACUUGUAUAGACUGAAGCAAUCUCCAAGAGCUUGGUUUGACAGAUUCUCCAAAGCAAUGAUAUCCUUCGAUUACCAACAAAGUAAUGAUGAUCAUACCCUCUUCAUGAAACACCAAAAGGGUAAACUCAUUUUUCUCAUAGUUGGCAAUGAUCUCCUUCGGUUACCAACAAAGUAAUGCCGAUCAUACCCUCUUCAUGAAACUCCAAAAGGGUAAAUUCUUUCUUCUCAUAGUUUAUGUUGAUGACAUAGUAAUGACAGGGAAUGACAAUGAAGAGAUGGCCCGGUUGUAGAAGCUGUUAGCCCAGGAAUUUGAGAUCAAAGAUCUAGGGAAGUUGCAAUACUUCUUGGGAAUUGAGGUUGCUAGAUCAAAAAGAGAAAUCUUUAUUUCUCAAAGGAAAUAUAUCCUAGACCUCUUGAAAGAAACUGGUAUGACAGGUUGUAAGCCAGCAGAAUCUCCCAUUGAAAGUAACCACAAGUUACAAACUGGUGUUGGAAAGUCAAUUGAUAGGAGAGAUAUCAGAGGUUGGUUGGAAAGCUUAUUUAUCUCUCUCAUACUAGGCCAGAUAUAGCAUAUUCAGUUAGCUUGGUGAGUCAGUUCAUGCACGAUCCAAAAGAUCCUCAUAUGCAAGUUGUCUUUCACAUUUUGCGGUAUCUAAAGUCUGCCCCAGGAAAGGGUCUACUUUUCUCUAAACAUGGUCACCUCCGGAUAGAAGCCUUUACAGAUGCAGAUUGGGCUGGAUCUCUAGAUGACAGAAGAUCUACGUCUGGUUACUGUGCACUCGUGGGAGGGAAUGUAGUUACUUGGAUAAGCAAGAAACAAAAUGUUGCUAGAUCCAGUGCAGAAGCAGAAUAUAGAGCAAUGGCCCAGGGUGUUUGUGAACUGAUUUG